rnacentral:sRNA from 1 species
GACAGAAAAAUUUAAAUUUUUAGAGCAGUAUUGAUUCCCCACAUCCAUAUGGAACUUAAUAAGUGCUUUAUUUCGUCAGUUUAUGGAUGGGUAUUAUAUUAUGAUAUGAUAUCAGAACUUUCUACUUGCAUAUUCUAUGUAAUUUCCAGUGCGUUGUACUUUAUCAAGGCAUACUCAUUAUUAUUAGCAGGUUUAACAGAAGAAUAAUCCCUUGUAGAAAGUUUUUUGGGAAUAUUGAUCUGUUAGAGUACUUUCACUGGUACCGUACUUUAUAUUAAUAAACAUUUAUCAGUGGGAAAUUUCUUAUUCAAACCUUGUUCAACUGUACACCAAGUCUUCAUCCCAUCAUAAUAUAUAAUUAAAACAUUAAUAUAAUCAAGUUAUAUCAAUCUGUACAAUACAAUAAUUGAAUUGUGAUAAUGAUCGCAUAAUGAUUCUGUGUUCUUGUUAAUUUAUUGAAUAAAUUUUCUUAUGUAUAUUC